rnacentral:rRNA from 1 species
UACGUAGGAGACGAGCGUUGUCCGGAAUCACUGGGCGUAAAGGGCGCGUAGGUGGCGCGGGCAGUCAACGGUGAAAGCUCGGGGCUCAACCCCGAGUCGGCCGUCGAUACUCCCGUGCUUGAGCACUGUAGAGGCAGGUGGAAUUCCGGGUGUAGCGGUGGAAUGCGUAGAGAUCCGGAAGAACACCGGUGGCGAAGGCGGCCUGCUGGGCAGUAGCUGACACUGAGGCGCGACAGCGUGGGGAGCAACAGG